GAAACACUGGGAAGGGCACCAGAGCAUCAGCCCCUGAUCCAGGCUCCUUCAAAAAAGGGUGGCAUGAAGGGAGCAAGAUACACUGAGGCUGCUGGAAAGGGAGACCUUGACCACAUCUCCUCAAUCCUGCUGUGAAACAGGUGCAAAAGGAACAGAAUUGGCUUCUUCCCUUGUGAAAGCAAUGAAACCACUCCAAAAGGCCCUACUAAAUCUGGUCCAGGGACAAUUCAAGGCAAGAAGCAGAGAAAAUGAGGCAAAUGAAAACAAAAUGAAGGGGAAAGGACAAAUAGAAGAUGGGAGAUGGCUCUCUGGCUGCCUGGGGGUUCUCAACAUGGGAGACAUGGCAGUGGCCUCCUUUUCCCUCUUUUCUCCCAUUCAAAGUUGAACAAGACCAUAAUGAAGAUCCCAGUAUUUCCAAAGCACUAUAAAAGAAUAAAACAAAACAAUCUAAACA